GACGAACGCUGGCGGCGUGCUUAACACAUGCAAGUCGAACGGAAAGGCCUUUUCGGAGGUACUCGAGUGGCGAACGGGUGAGUAACACGUGGGUGAUCUCCCCUGCACUCUGGGAUAAGCCUGGGAAACUGGGUCUAAUACCGGCUAGGACCGCACUUUAGUGUGUGUGGUGGAAAGUUUUUUCGGUGUAGGAUGAGCCCGCGGCCUAUCAGCUGGGUGUGGGGGCAAUGGCGUACGAAGGCGGCGACGGGUAGCCGGGCUGAGAGGUUGGUCGGCCACAUUGAGACUGAGUAAUGGCCACGACAGCUACGGGAGGCAGAGGAAGGGAAUAUUGCACAAUGGGCGCAAGCCGGUUGCAGCGAAGCCGCGUGGGGGAGGACGAACUUCGGGUUGUGAACUCAGUUCGCCAGGGACGAAGCGUUUUGUGACGGUACCUGGAGAAGAAGCACCGGCUAACUACGUG
rnacentral:rRNA from 1 species